rnacentral:misc_RNA from 1 species
CUGGUCCUAGAUGAUCCCAUCUAAUUCAUUGAAAGUCUUGUGGAGGCCCAUUUAGUGUCUAAAGCUGAUAUUUACACAUUUGUGCAUAAUAGUUUUUCCUUUUGGGUUAUUUUCAGUGUCUAGUUUAUAUCACAUGUUGAAAUUGAUCAAUGAUUCUGCACUUUCUAUAGGGCGUUCUUAAAGUUCAGGUUCUAGCAAGCACGGCAAGAGGGGCCAUGGAAGCACCUACUAUAUAAUUUUUAUGUAUUCAUAAGUUAGUGGAGAUUGUUACACAAAUAAAUACAUUUAUAUUUUCUUCGGUCG